UACGGAGGGGGCAAGCGUUGUUCGGAAUUAUUGGGCGUAAAGGGCACGUAGGUGGACUAGUAAGUUAAAAGUGAAAUACCAAAGCUUAACUUUGGAGCUGCUUUUAAUACUGCUAGACUAGAGUUCGAAAGAGGAUAGUGGAAUUCCUAGUGUAGAGGUGAAAUUCGUAGAUAUUAGGAGGAACACCAGUGGCGAAGGCGGCUAUCUGGUUCGAUACUGACACUGAGGUGCGAAAGCGUGGGGAGCA
rnacentral:rRNA from 1 species